rnacentral:tRNA from 1 species
GCGGGUGUAGCUCAAUUGGCUAGAGCAUCUGCCUUCCAAGCAGAGGGUUUCGAGUUCGAGUCUCGUCACCCGCUCCA